rnacentral:rRNA from 1 species
GACGAACGCUGGCGGCGUGCUUAACACAUGCAAGUCGAACGAUGAAGAAAAGACUCGAAGCUUCGGCAGAAAUUCAUUUCGGAUUAGUGGCAGACGGGUGAGUAACGCGUGAGCAACCUACCUCUUACAAAGGGAUAGCCUCGGGAAACCGGGAUUAAUACCAUAUAACAUUGUGACGAAGCAUUUCGAUGCAAUCAAAGCUACGGCGGUAAGAGAUGGGCUCGCGUCCCAUUAACCGGAUGGUGAGGUAACGGCUCACCAUAGUGACGAUGGGUAACCGGCCUGAGAGGGUGAACGGUCACACUGGAACUGAGACACGGUCCAGACUCCUACGGGAGGCAGCAGUGGGGAAUAUUGCACAAUGGAGGGAACUCUGAUGCAGCGACGCCGCGUGAGUGAUGAAGGAAUUCGUUUCGUAAAACUCUGUUCUAUGGGAAGAAAAGGACUGUACCAUAGGAGAAAGCGCCGGCUAAAUACGUG